rnacentral:pre_miRNA from 1 species
UAUUAGGUUGGUGCAAGGGUAAUUGCGGUUUUUGCCAUUAAAAGUAUUGGCAAAAACCACAAUUACUUUUGCACUAACCUAAUA